CAGUUGAACAAGACGACGAAAUAGAAGUAUGUACCUCAUGCUAUCGAUGCGAUACUCAGGCAAGGAGCAACGUUGCAAUAUUUCGGAUACUGUGACAACAUCGCAUCAACGCAGUGUUUCCAUUUCUCGAUAUGGUGCUGCUACUUAAUACAGAAAUAAGAACUUUAUUAACCUUUCUCAAAUCAGACUGCAACCGUGAAGGAAUUAGUCUGAUAUGCUAUUAGUAAUAUCGGUAGCAUAACACAGCUAUAUAAAUGUCUCCAAGUUGGUAAUAAGCUAAUAACGGUGGAAAUCAGUCGGGGGAGGGGGUGAUGCAGAAGAUAAAAGAAAUAUACGAGAAAACAACAAAUAAUUACGAAAAAUAUGAAUAACAUUCGGAAAGAGAUUGGCUGAGAAACAACGAAGAUAGGACUGGAAAUUCAUUUGACUGUGAAAUUUAUGAUCGACGUUUUAGCAAUUGUCGAUGAAGACAUCAGGAAAAUCUUCAAAUCGUUGAAAAGUUACUCCAAGGAAAAUUAGCUCGGCAUGGUUCUUUUUCAUUGCCUGGAAAAGAAGAAUAUAUCUCUUGGACGUGUUCAUCAGCCCGAUGUUACUUUAUAGAAUCGAGAUGUGGCGACAGUAAAAAAAGGACAAAAUGGCGAUAGGAUUGUAUAGAAAUAUUCCAGAUUACACGUGGAGAUUGGAAUCGAGCAUAGCGAGCAUAGGCAUACAGACCAAACAGAGAACCGAUAAGUAUGCAUACUGAUCUUAGUUCAAAUGAAAGAAAACAAUGAUUUAGGAUUUACCUAAAAGAAGAUUUGAGGGUACAAAAUGGCAAAUCUUUAGAAUGGGAAACAGAGUCUAUUAAAGCUUUAGAAGUAGGAAUAAAGCUACCGUCAUCUGAUCAGGAAUAUGACAUCCUGGAGAAUAAUGAAAACUAAAAAAUGUAAUGGAAAAUAUAUACGAAUGUAUAAAAAGAUGUUUAGAUUGUGAUUAGACUACGGAUAUUUAUGCAAAACAUUCUUAUAGACACAAAUAAAAAAUUGCGAUUUGAGUAGA